rnacentral:lncRNA from 1 species
UGGACAAACGUCAUGAGUGCCUCGAAGAAAGUGGUCUAGGUCAUGUCUUCACAUAUUUGGCAUUUUACCACAACGUACUCUGCAAAUCGUUGUGACCCUUUACGGAUCCUACAUUUCUCCCGUGAUAAAUCUCCAAUUUGCCCGGUUCUAGCUUCCAAAGUUUGUUUAGCUGCAUGGCUUUGUUUUGAAAUUGUUGCUAAUUCAUUUCCAACCGUGCUAUCAAAGAAUAACAGUGCUCCCUUUUGGCUUCAAAAUCUCUUCCCUGCUUGGCCAUUUCAUUUUCAACGAUCUUGACCUUUUUCUUCAUACUUGCCAUCCCCUUUCCGUAUUUCUCCUUCA